rnacentral:miRNA from 1 species
UAUACAGGGUGAGUAAAAAAAACCUGACACCUUUGUUAUUCAAAUUAGCCGCGAAGGUAUCAGUUUUUUUUACUCACCCUGUAUA